AUGAGUUCUUCGUCAUCUUCAUCUGGCGAUGAUGAACUCAUACUUGCAGCAUUCACCGAGCGCGAGGAGGAAGAGAGGAAGAACGCUCGACGCCAUGGCGGUUCCAAGCAUGGACUCAGUCAAUCGAUCGAGGAAGAGAUGCCGGAUUUCUUCUUCUAUGGGAUGACUACUUCAAAGAAGUUCCUCGCUUUCCCGAACAUUUGUUUCGACGAAGGUUCGUAA
rnacentral:rRNA from 1 species